UUGCUCGCGUGGAAGCGUGCCGGUCCGAUCGGUUCCGAAACUUUCGAUACGAGACGAUCGGCUUUAUAAAUAUUCCAAUUCAAAAUUUCUCUUUCGUUAGAGUCAUGUAUUUAUUCUGCGACGGCAACCUAUCGGCGUCGCGCCGCGUUGCGUCGCUCCGGCAGGUGAAACUCGUCGGGGUGGCGAAUCGCGUUUCGUCACGUCUCGUUCUUGGAAACAGGGGUACAAGGUUCGCGUUCGAGGCGAUUCAGAAGUAUCUCCUCGUUUCCAAAAACAGAUCGAAAUUCGUCGAGACAUAGGUUCAAGGUCUGCCUUUGCUCAUCGACCAUCGGAUCUUUCGUCAUAAAUGCUUCCACCUUUGAGCAGGCUUGCUGUCCGCAGCUGUCCGCGUGGGCCGGCAUUUAUAAACCGUUCCAAGAAGAUAACGCUGCAAAGACCGCCAGAGACGAAUAAAAGACGGAUGCGAAAAAGAAUUCGAUAGGGUCAUUAGGUCUCAAGUGCGCGGUUUCCUCUUUCGCUUCCGAUACUAUGCGCCGGUUUUAACGCAUAGCAAUACGCGCAUUUCAAUUAAACCUUUCAUGCAUAAAACUAUCUCGGCCGACCGACAAGUUUUCCUUGGAGCUGACGUUAUAUUCUUUAUGUUCGUCGGCUAAAAAAUGCCAGGCUCGCAGAGGAUGGACUAUCCUCAGGAGGGACACCACGGGGGCCUCGAAGAGUAUGCUGAUGACCAACGCUACGAUGUAGGAAGCUAUCGUGAACCCGAGGAACAGUAUUCCCUGAAAAAUAUGGUCCAAUUGACAGAAAAUCGCCGUGGAAAAUGAUCGUCGUCGAACAACGGAUCUUUAUACAUGUGCAUAAGGGUCUAGAAUCUAUGAACAUCUUUCGACUUUUCCGACCUGAUUGUUCCGAGACCAGUAAAAGAAAGGGAACCGACCGAAGCAUGAUGUUAUUUAGUCGAAAUUUGGACGGCUCGAGGCAAGCAGCACUUUCACCUGAGGAAAACAGUGAAAGGGGGAAGAAAUGAAAAGUGAAGACAGGUGGAGGGGGAUUAAUAAGAACGUCGGAGAGGGAAGGAGAGAAGAGAACCGGAGUGGAAAGCCGCAGGAAAGGCGAACGAGUCGGGAUCUAGCGGAGGCUUCGGAAGUCGGACUGAUUCGUUUGAUCGAUUUGCUAACAUAAUUUCAGGUGCACAGACGAAUGCUGGAAAGUAUAAUUGCUUGAGAAAACAAUCGAAAGAUUAGAUCGACGACGUGUGACGUUACGGAGUACCAUCAAUCCAAGCGUCAAGUGCAUCGAACUUUCUCCUUUCAAAACUACCGCUCGUAUGAUCACGGGAUGAACCAGAUACACGCAGUAACUCAGCCUGGAUAAUGGGUAUAGAUACUUCCAGGAUAGUAUGUUGUUCACGAUGCCUGAACAGAAAAGAAACGAUAAUUAUCCACGUAGGAAUUGGAUCGUUGGAAUUGUUUCAAAAUUUAAACCUAUGCUGUCCAUGAGCGACAGCCAGUUUCCUGGAAGAUGAACCUGGAAGCGCGAUUAACGAAUCACAAGGAAGCACGGACAGCAUGGUUUGAUGUCACGUCUACGAUACUGACCACCAUGACCGGCAACGCAUGCUACGAGGACCCAGCCGACUGCGACCGCCCAUCCUGAAUGCGACAACGCGGUGUAAGCCGCGAACAUGAAUGGACCGUGGGUACUUCCGUAGAGGCCGUACACUAUACUCAGCAUGACAAAGAAGGAAACGAUCCAGCAAAUGAAUGAGACCGUCUGCAAUUAGAAGCAACAGCGUGGGUAUCAGUCCGCGAGCGUUGGGACGGAUCGCAGUAAUCGACGAUCAUUACGGAGAAAGUAGAUUACGAUGCUUCUUACUGCACUGCGAUCUGAUCAGCGAUAACCAGUUACGUGAAAUCGCGGGUGCGCGGAGAACUAUAAUGACUCCGAUCGUUCCCCAAACAACGCUCAAGAAGUAGGAAAUCGCGACGCGGUUUCGAGCACCGAGUAAAAACGCGAUCAUCUAGCCGUAAUUAGCGACCAGCUCUCUAUGAAAGUUAUACGAAGUUCACCUUAGGCAACUUGAGACUGCAAUUCGACUUGUAAAGGUACCAGCCGGCCAUCAUCCCCAAAAGAUACGGUCCGAUCCUCGACCACGGCUUAUCGUACAGGCUCUCGUAGUGAGCGAACGGAUCCAGGAUGCUGUUGUAGUCGGUUUACGAAACGUUUCAAUUAACGCUGGAACUCUAAUUAGCCGAUUUUUCGGAGAUUGUACGUACCCGUUCAUCCAUGGCGAAGUACGUGUUCACGUAGAGAGCGUUCCUCCACCAGUAUCGUUUGCAGUUCUGGUAAUCGAGCGUGUACAGAUCGAGCAUCGUGUGGUGGUAGUACCAGGAAGACGACACCUGGAUCAAACCGAUCACGAGAAGUCAGGCAAGUGUGGACCAAGAUGAUCCACAGCAUAGAAAUCAGCCGCAGUCCGUGAAUAGGAGCCAGCGUGUCGUCGCCAACAUCCAGGCCGCAGAGUUUCGAUAGAUUCAAGAGAAGACUGAAAGAUAACAGCGCCUCCGACAGCGGUUUCGGAGCGCUUCUCGUGUUCCUCACGUCUGGAAUAAGAAAACCAGGGUAGCCCGAUGCGAAAGAAUCCGAGCAAGGUAACGUAGAUAUACCUAUAGCACCAUUGUGCUCCUUCACCGACCACAGCUUCGCGAUCGUGAUCUCAUCGUCGCUGUUUUGGUCGGUGUGCAUGAUUUUCAUUUCCGCUGCCGUGUUCGCGAUAUCCCGAACAUUUCGCCGCGAACGUAAUACCCGAUAUCUCAGGGAAACGUCGUAGAAAGUGCCCAGACAGGCGAAUACAAUGGCCACGGCAAAAACAAACCUGCAAGCCAUUGGAUCGGUCAAGACAAUCGGCGAACUAGUUCCUAGUAUAGCUGUAAAUGCUGGGUAGCAAGUUGUAAUGCGAAUAUUUGUUGAGUUAGAUGCGUAGCUAUGCCGGGUGGAAAAUCAGUUUGCCU